rnacentral:ncRNA from 1 species
GGUAGUAGCAAAUAAUCGAAUGAGACCUUCGAGGAAUGAAGUGGAGAAGGGUUUCGUAUGAACAGUGGUUGAUCACGAGUUAGUCAGUCCUAAGUUCAAGGCGAAAGCUGAAAAUUUUCAUGUAAUAUAUAUAAAUAAUGUAUAAAACACAUGAAAAUAAUUGAACGAAAGGGAAUACGGUUCCAAUUCCGUAACCUGUUGAUUAUCCGUUUGUUUAUUAAAUGUGGGCCUUGUGCUCAUCCUGGCAACAGGAACGACCAUAAAGAAGCCGUCGAGAGAUAUCGGAAGAGUUUUCUUUUCUGUUUUAUAGUCGUACUACCAUGGAAGUCUUUCAAAGAGAGAUAUGAUAGAUGGGCUAGAAGAGCAUGACAUUUACUGUUGUGUCGAUAUUUUCUCCUCGGACCUUUCAAAAUUUAUGGUGGGGUCACGCAAACUUCUCAACAGGCCGUACCAAUAUCCGCAGCUGGUCUCCAAGGUGAAGAGUCUCUAGUC